UACGUAGUGGUGCUUACCACGGGCCAG
rnacentral:piRNA from 1 species